rnacentral:lncRNA from 1 species
GACAAGGCAUAGUUUCGUAGAUAGCGCCCUACCACUGAGACCAGGGAUAGCGGUACCCCGAGUCAGCCUACCUAGGGGUGUAGAAAAGAGAAAGAAAGCAUUAUUUGUGUAAUCUUAAUUGUAUUUGGAAGAAAAGAAAAUAAAAAUGUAAUAUGUAAAAAGCAUGUGAUGUGAAUGCUUGUAAUAGCUUAGUUGUUUAUGUUGUUUGAUACCUUCCUUAUGCAAUCGUUGUAUGAAUACUGUUCCUGUUUGGAACCUCUUGUAUUGUAUUGUUUGCGACGCCUAGGACGUAAAGGGAAAACUCUGUCAGUUCGGCGGUCUGUUGACGACCCGAAUCCUACCAAAUA